rnacentral:rRNA from 1 species
AGGUGCUGCAUGGCUGUCGUCAGCUCGUGUUGUGAAAUGUUGGGUUAAGUCCCGCAACGAGCGCAACCCUUAUCCUUUGUUGCCAGCGGUCCGGCCGGGAACUCAAAGGAGACUGCCAGUGAUAAACUGGAGGAAGGUGGGGAUGACGUCAAGUCAUCAUGGCCCUUACGACCAGGGCUACACACGUGCUACAAUGGCGCAUACAAAGAGAAGCGACCUCGCGAGAGCAAGCGGACCUCAUAAAGUGCGUCGUAGUCCGGAUUGGAGUCUGCAACUCGACUCCAUGAAGUCGGAAUCGCUAGUAAUCGUGGAUCAGAAUGCCACGGUGAAUACGUUCCCGGGCCUUGUACACACCGCCCGUCACACCAUGGGAGUGGGUUGCAAAAGAAGUAGGUAGCUUAACCUUCGGGAGGGCGCUUACCACUUUGUGAUUCAUGACUGGGGUGAAGUCGUAACAAGGUAACCGUAGGGGAACCUGCGGCUGGAUCACCUC